GACAGAGGCCUCAAGCGUUAGGCGGAAUCACUGGGCUUAAAGCGUGUGUAGGCGGACGCCUAAGUGUCUUGUGAAAUCCCCCGGCUCACCCGGGGAACUGCUGGGCAUACUGGGCGUCUUGGGCCAACUAGGGGCAACUGGAACAAGCGGUGGAGCGGUGAAAUGCGUAGAUAUUGGGAGGAACACCAGUGGCGAAGGCGGCUCACUGGCCCGAUACUGACGCUGAGGUGCGAAAGCGUGGGGAGCAAACAGG
rnacentral:rRNA from 1 species